UGGGGUCGGAGCGGUGGCCACGCCCACACUGCCGCCCGUGAGACGGUGAGGCUUCUUAGAAAACAGGCUCCAUUCCUUAGAAAGCCACUAUAUCAUCCGGCGCCUGUGAAACAAAAGGCUCACGAGCGUCCAAAGCAGGACACGGCCGGCUGCCUACCGACCAUGAGCGCGGGCUCCUCCAGUCAGAGGAGAAAGAACGGCUGGAAGCACCCGAUGGCCCCAACUGGUGCCGGGCCGCGAGCCAGACACCAGUGAGCACACGCAGGCCAGGCCUGUGGUCACUCGUGCUCCUCUGGAAUGGGGGAAUUUCUCUAACUCCAGAGCAAGACUGAAACCAAGGAAAGUGCAGUUGCUCUGCCAGAAAAUCAACAAUCUCUUCUGCACCUACUCCCACCAUUGCGGGCCACCCACCAUACGCAGUUCCCCGGGGUGCAGCAGCAUGCCGGUGCCUGAUCCUGAAUCUCCUGAACCAUGAGCUUUAUAAAGUACGAGGCCUCAGGUACUG